AUGAACUCUUGUCCUGAACUGGUGAUUGCACUCUUCUUAAUGUUUGGAGGAAGCAAUGGAGACUCGGUGACUCAGACAGAAGGCCAAGUGACACUCUCUGAAGGGGCUUCUCUGACUGUGAACUGUUCCUAUGAAACCACACAGUACCCAGCCCUGUUCUGGUAUGUGCAGUAUCCCGGAGAAGGGCCACAGCUCCUCCUUAGAGCCUCAAAGGCCAACGAGAAGGGAAGCAGCAGAGGUUUUGAAGCUACAUAUGAGAAAGAAACCACGUCCUUCCACUUGCAGAAAGCCUCAGUGCAAGCGUCGGACUCGGCUGUGUACUACUGUGCUCUGGGUGACACAGUGGCAGAAACCACAGGGGCAGCUGAGCACAAACUCUGA